GGCCUUCGGGUUGUAAACUGCUUUUGUACGGAACGAAAAGGCCCUGGUGAACAACCGGGGUUGCUGACGGUACCGUAAGAAUAAGCACCGGCUAACUACGUGCCAGCAGCCGCGGUAAUACGUAGGGUGCGAGCGUUAAUCGGAAUUACUGGGCGUAAAGCGUGCGCAGGCGGACAUGCAAGACAGAUGUGAAAUCCCCGGGCUCAACCUGGGAACUGCAUAUGUGACUGUAUGACUGGAGUACGGCAGAGGGGGAUGGAAUUCCGCGUGUAGCAGUGAAAUGCGUAGAUACGCGGAGGAACACCGAUGGCGAAGGCAAUCCCCUGGGCCAGUACUGACGCUCAUGCACGAAAGCGUGGGGAGCAAACAGGAUUAGAUACCCUGGUAGUCC
rnacentral:rRNA from 1 species